AGACAGGCGUGGCUCCGGGAGUGACCCGAAGCCGCAAUGUGCGUUCAAGAUGUC
rnacentral:rRNA from 1 species